AUUGAACGCUAGCGGGAUGCUUUACACAUGCAAGUCGAACGGCAGCGCGAACUUCGGUUUGGCGGCGAGUGGCGAACGGGUGAGUAAUAUAUCGGAACGUACCCAGUAGCGGGGGAUAACUACUCGAAAGAGUAGCUAAUACCGCAUACGCCCUAAGGGGGAAAGGGGGGGAUCGCAAGACCUCUCACUAUUGGAGCGGCCGAUAUCGGAUUAGCUAGUUGGUGGGGUAAAGGCUCACCAAGGCGACGAUCCGUAGCUGGUUUGAGAGGACGACCAGCCACACUGGGACCGAGACACGGCCCAGACUCCUACGGGAGGCAGCAGUGGGGAAUUUUGGACAAUGGGGGAAACCCUGAUCCAGCCAUCCCGCGUGUGCGAUGAAGGCCUUCGGUUGUAAGCACUUUGGUCAGGAAAGAAAUACGCAUGGGUUAAUACUCUGUGUGGAUGACGGUACCAGCACAAGAAGCACCGGCUAACUACGUG
rnacentral:rRNA from 1 species